AUUGAACGCUGGCGGCAGGCCUAACACAUGCAAGUCGAGCGGAUGAAGGGAGCUUGCUCCUGGAUUCAGCGGCGGACGGGUGAGCAAUGCCUAGGAAUCUGCCUGGUAGUGGGGGAUAACGUCCGGAAACGGGCGCUAAUACCGCAUACGUCCUGAGGGAGAAAGUGGGGGAUCUUCGGACCUCACGCUAUCAGAUGAGCCUAGGUCGGAUUAGCUAGUUGGUGGGGUAAAGGCCUACCAAGGCGACGAUCCGUAACUGGUCUGAGAGGAUGAUCAGUCACACUGGAACUGAGACACGGUCCAGACUCCUACGGGAGGCAGCAGUGGGGAAUAUUGGACAAAGGGCGAAAGCCUGAUCCAGCCAUGCCGCGUGUGUGAAGAAGGUCUUCGGAUUGUAAAGCACUUUAAGUUGGGAGGAAGGGCAGUAAGUUAAUACCUUGCUGUUUUGACGUUACCAACAGAAUAAGCACCGGCUAACUUCGUG
rnacentral:rRNA from 1 species